GACGAACGCUGGCGGCGUGCUUAACACAUGCAAGUCGAGCGGAAAGGCCCUGCUUUUGUGGGGUGCUCGAGUGGCGAACGGGUGAGUAACACGUGAGUAACCUGCCCUUGACUUUGGGAUAACUUCAGGAAACUGGGGCUAAUACCGGAUAGGAGCUCCUGCUGCAUGGUGGGGGUUGGAAAGUUUCGGCGGUUGGGGAUGGACUCGCGGCUUAUCAGCUUGUUGGUGGGGUAGUGGCUUACCAAGGCUUUGACGGGUAGCCGGCCUGAGAGGGUGACCGGCCACAUUGGGACUGAGAUACGGCCCAGACUCCUACGGGAGGCAGCAGUGGGGAAUAUUACACAAUGGGCGGAAGCCUGAUGCAGCAACGCCGCGUGCGGGAUGACGGCCUUCGGGUUGUAAACCGCUUUCGCCUGUGACGAAGCGUGAGUGACGGUAAUGGGUAAAGAAGCACCGGCUAACUACGUG
rnacentral:rRNA from 1 species